rnacentral:lncRNA from 1 species
GACAAAGUGAGGAAGGCAUUCCAGGCAGUCAACAGCAGGCAUGAUACUCCAGAGUGAGAGAGCCUCAAGUGUCCUGGGGUGCAGUCAUGAUUAACCUUGAACAAGGAGAGGUUUGGCCCUUAUCCCCAGCUCCCAGGAGGCAACCUCUAAGCCCUUGGAAUUGCCUCCUUGAUAAGAGUGCGUUUAUUUACCUGGGGGCCUUGGGCCCCACCAGAUAGUCUCUGCUAACAAUGUGACCUAUGGGGGGCCCUUGGACCAAGUGGUAUCAGCUUGACUUCUGCAGGGGCUGGAAACCAGGAUCAGCCAACUUGGCGGCCAGCCAUGUCUGGGUGACCAGCCCCCAGUAGAAACCUUGGACACCAAGGCUCAGGUGAUGCCAAGGUACAAAAUCAGGUUUUCAGACACUUAAUACCUAGUUAGCAAUAACAACUGAUUCCAAUGGGAAGAUACCAGAUGGUGCUUCGCCUUGUUAAUAACACCUGCUAGCAAGCCACAUCUUGAAUGACAAAGCUGAUUUGGGGGCCAAGUUUGGUGCUGUUUGCUCCAGGGGCCUGAGCUGCAGGUCAGGACCUGCUCACAUGGCCUUUCCCUGUCACCAGCAGCUCACACUGGCUGACAGGACUCCCUCCAGGCCAGACGCCUCCAGCCCUCACUGUGCAGUCAGGAAGCUUUUCUUCCCCUUUUCUAAGGGCUGUGGUCUCCCAAAGGCGCCCAGCUGGUG